rnacentral:rRNA from 1 species
UGUGCCAGCCGCCGCCGGUAAUACGUAGGGUGCGAGCGUUGUCCGGAAUUACUGGGCGUAAAGGGCUCGUAGGUGGUUUGUCGCGUCGUCUGUGAAAUUCCGGGGCUUAACUCCGGGCGUGCAGGCGAUACGGGCAUAACUUGAGUACUGUAGGGGUAACCGGAAUUCCUGGUGUAGCGGUGAAAUGCGCAGAUAUCAGGAGGAACACCGAUGGCGAAGGCAGGUUACUGGGCAGUUACUGACGCUGAGGAGCGAAAGCAUGGGUAGCGAACAGGAUUAGAUAC